rnacentral:rRNA from 1 species
AAUCAACGCUGGCGGCGUGCCUAACACAUGCAAGUCGAACGGGAAAGUACUCUUCGGAGUGCGAGUAAAGUGGCGAACGGGUGAGUAACGCGUGGGUGAUCUGCCCUUGGGUGGGGGAUAACUUCGCGAAAGCGGAGCUAAUACCGCAUGAGCCUCAUUUUGUAAGCGAGAUGAGGGAAAGCCUUUGGGUGCCGAAGGAGGAGCCCGCGUCCGAUUAGCUAGUUGGUGAGGUAAGAGCUCACCAAGGCGACGAUUGGUAGCCGGUCUGAGAGGACGGACGGUCACACUGGGACUGAGACACGGCCCAGACUCCUACGGGAGGCAGCAGUGGGGAAUUUUGGGCAAUGGGCGCAAGCCUGACCCAGCAACGCCGCGUGGAGGAUGAAGGUUUUCGGAUCGUAAACUCCUGUCUAGAGGGACGAAGGAAGUGACGGUACCUCUGGAGGAAGCCCCGGCUAACUCCGUG